UGGCUAUCUUCUGGAUCUCUGAUGGGGCGGUCCUCACCGGUUUCAGUCUUUGCUGACCUGGGAGUCGGUGGAGGGUGCCAGCAGCUGGACCCAACCUGACAUUAUCCUCUCUCCUGCCAGUAGGCUGGCCGGGCCCCACACCCAGUGUGAGUGAGCUGGAGCGACGGCGUUUGGAAGAGGCUCUGGAGGCUGCCCAGGGUGAGGCCCGGGGGGCUCAGCUUCGGGAAGAGCAGCUCCAGGCCGAGUGCGAGCGGCUGCAGGGAGAGCUGAAGCAGCUGCAGGAGAGCCGGGCCCAGGAUCUCGCCUCCAACCAGUCAGAGCGGGACAUGGCGUGGGUGAAAAGAGUCGGGGAUGAUCAGGUGAAUUUGGCGCUGGCUUACCACGGAGCUGACAGCGAGCUGGGGCCGCUUCGGGAGUUGAGUUCCCUGCAGGGGAGGAUCUUGAGGACUCUUCUUGCAGGAGCAGGCCCGGAGUGGCGGGUGAGAGGGGGCCUGGAAGGGGCGCCCGGAGCUGGGUCCCAAGGGGGGGAGGGGGGGGUAACUGUGGCUACCAUCUCGCGUCCUGGGGCCACCCCUGCCUUCCUUUCCCUGCCGGGUCGUUUUCACCCGCUCGCCGUUCCGAGGAGAGAGGGUAGAGUGGGCGUCGGGCGCACGGCACGCCCAUGGCUCCCCAGUGCUGACUCCUUCUCUCCCACCACUGCCCCUUCCCCCUCGGCUUGCUUCUCUUCCAUGCCAGAGGCCUCGCCUCUGUCGCAGUGCCCCUCCCCGUCCCCGCCCGCCCGAGCGGC
rnacentral:lncRNA from 1 species